GACGAACGCUGGCGGCGUGCUUAACACAUGCAAGUCGAACGGAAAGGCCCCUUUGGGGGUACUCGAGUGGCGAACGGGUGAGUAACACGUGAGUAACCUGCCCUUGACUUCGGGAUAACUUCAGGAAACUGGGGCUAAUACCGGAUAGGAAUCCUUGCUGCAUGGUGGGGGUUGGAAAGCUUCGGCGGUUUUGGAUGGACUCGCGGCUUAUCAGCUUGUUGGUGGGGUAGUGGCUUACCAAGGCUUUGACGGGUAGCCGGCCUGAGAGGGGGACCGGCCACAGUGGGACUGGGAUACGGCCCAGACGCCUACGGGGGGGAGCAGUGGGGAAUAUUGCACAAUGGGCGGAAGCCUGAUGCAGCAACGCCGCGUGCGGGAUGACGGCCUUCGGGUUGUAAACCGCUUUCAGCAGGGGCGAAGCUUGUGGUGACGGUACCUGCAGAAGAAGCACCGGCUAACUACGUG
rnacentral:rRNA from 1 species